UAAGUUAAUAAGGGCGCACGGUGGAUGCCUUGGCACUAGGAGCCGACGAAGGACGUGACAAACGACGAUAUGCCUUGGGUAGCUGUAAGUAAGCGAUGAUCCAGGGAUUUCCGAAUGGGGGAACCCAACAGGUAAUACCUGUUACCUACAUCUGUUAAGGAUGUGAGGAGGAAGACGCAGUGAACUGAAACAUCUAAGUAGCUGCAGGAAGAGAAAGCAAAAGCGAUUGCCUUAGUAGCGGCGAGCGAAACGGCAGAAGGGCAAACCGAAGAGUUUACUCUUCGGGGUUGUAGGACUGCAAUGUGGACUCAAAGAUUAUAGAAGAAUGAUUUGGGUAAGAUCAGCCAAAGAGAGUAAUAGCCUCGUAUUUAAAAUAGUCUUUGUACUUAGCAGUAUCCUGAGUACGGCGGGACACGUGAAAUCCCGUCGGAAUCUGGGAGGACCAUCUCCCAACCCUAAAUACUCCCUAGUGACCGAUAGUGAACCAGUACCGUGAGGGAAAGGUGAAAAGCACCCCGGGAGGGGAGUGAAAUAGAACCUGAAACCGUGUGCCUACAACAAGUUCGAGCCCGUUAAUGGGUGAGAGCGUGCCUUUUGUAGAAUGAACCGGCGAGUUACGUUAUGAUGCGAGGUUAAGUUGAAGAGACGGAGCCGUAGGGAAACCGAGUCUGAAUAGGGCGCCUUAGUAUCAUGACGUAGACCCGAAACCAUGUGACCUACCCAUGAGCAGGUUGAAGGUGCGGUAAGACGCACUGGAGGACCGAACCAGGGCACGUUGAAAAGUGCUUGGAUGACUUGUGGGUAGCGGAGAAAUUCCAAACGAACUUGGAGAUAGCUGGUUCUCUCCGAAAUAGCUUUAGGGCUAGCGUCGACAUUAGAGAUUCUUGGAGGUAGAGCACUGUUUGGGUGAGGGGUCCAUCCCGGAUUACCAAUCUCAGAUAAACUCCGAAUGCCAAUGAAUUAUGGUCGGCAGUCAGACUGCGAGUGCUAAGAUCCGUAGUCGAAAGGGAAACAGCCCAGACCACCAGCUAAGGUCCCAAAAUAAUUGUUAAGUGGAAAAGGAUGUGGGGUUGCACGGACAACUAGGAUGUUAGCUUAGAAGCAGCUAUUCAUUCAAAGAGUGCGUAAUAGCUCACUAGUCGAGUGACCCUGCGCCGAAAAUGUACCGGGGCUAAAACAAUUUACCGAAGCUGUGGAUACCUUUAUAGGUAUGGUAGGAGAGCGUUCUAUGUGUGAUGAAGGUAUACCGUGAGGAGUGCUGGAACGCAUAGAAGUGAGAAUGCCGGUAUGAGUAGCGAAAGACAGGUGAGAAUCCUGUCCACCGUAAGACUAAGGUUUCCAGGGGAAGGCUCGUCCGCCCUGGGUUAGUCGGGACCUAAGGAGAGACCGAAAGGUGUAUCCGAUGGACAACAGGUUGAUAUUCCUGUACUAGAGUAUGUAGUGAUGGAGGGACGCAGUAGGCUAACUAAAGCAGACGAUUGGAAGAGUCUGUCUAAGCAGUGAGGUGUGAAUUGAGUCAAAUGCUUAAUUCUAUAACAUUGAGCUGUGAUGGGGAGCGAAGUUUAGUAGCGAAGUUAGUGACGUCACACUGCCAAGAAAAGCUUCUAGCGUUUAAACAUACUCUACCCGUACCGCAAACCGACACAGGUAGUCGAGGCGAGUAGCCUCAGGUGAGCGAGAGAACUCUCGUUAAGGAACUCGGCAAAAUGACCCCGUAACUUCGGGAGAAGGGGUGCUGACUUAAAGUCAGCCGCAGUGAAUAGGCCCAAGCAACUGUUUAUCAAAAACACAGCUCUCUGCUAAAUCGUAAGAUGAUGUAUAGGGGGUGACGCCUGCCCGGUGCUGGAAGGUUAAGAGGAGUGCUUAGCGUAAGCGAAGGUAUGAAUUGAAGCCCCAGUAAACGGCGGCCGUAACUCUAACGGUCCUAAGGUAGCAAAAUUCCUUGUCGGGUAAGUUCCGACCCGCACGAAAGGCGUAAUGAUUUGGGCACUGUCUCAACGAGAGACUCGGUGAAAUUUUAGUACCUGUGAAGAUGCAGGUUACCCGCGACAGGACGGAAAGACCCCAUGGAGCUUUACUGCAGUUUGAUAUUGAGUGUCUGUACCACAUGUACAGGAUAGGUAGGAGUCUAAGAGAUCGGGACGCCAGUUUCGAAGGAGACGCUGUUGGGAUACUACCCUUGUGUUAUGGCCACUCUAACCCAGAUAGGUGAUCCCUAUCGGAGACAGUGUCUGACGGGCAGUUUGACUGGGGCGGUCGCCUCCUAAAAGGUAACGGAGGCGCCCAAAGGUUCCCUCAGAAUGGUUGGAAAUCAUUCGCAGAGUGUAAAGGUAUAAGGGAGCUUGACUGCGAGAGCUACAACUCGAGCAGGGACGAAAGUCGGGCUUAGUGAUCCGGUGGUUCCGUAUGGAAGGGCCAUCGCUCAACGGAUAAAAGCUACCCUGGGGAUAACAGGCUUAUCUCCCCCAGGAGUUCACAUCGACGGGGAGGUUUGGCACCUCGAUGUCGGCUCGUCGCAUCCUGGGGCUGUAGUCGGUCCCAAGGGUUGGGCUGUUCGCCCAUUAAAGCGGCACGCGAGCUGGGUUCAGAACGUCGUGAGACAGUUCGGUCCCUAUCCGUCGCGGGCGUAGGAAAUUUGAGAGGAUCUGCUCCUAGUACGAGAGGACCAGAGUGGACUUACCGCUGGUGUACCAGUUGUCUUGCCAAGGCAUCGCUGGGUAGCUAUGUAGGGAAGGGAUAAACGCUGAAAGCAUCUAAGUGUGAAACCCACCUCAAGAUGAGAUUUCCCAUGAUUAUAUAUCAGUAAGAGCCCUGAGAGAUGAUCAGGUAGAUAGGUUAGAAGUGGAAGUGUGGCGACACAUGUAGCGGACUAAUACUAAUAGCUCGAGGACUUAUCCA
rnacentral:rRNA from 1 species